GCUGAAUAUACCGGUUCUCGUUAGAUCACCGAAGUCAAGCAUCAUUGGGCGUGGUCAGUACUUGGGUGGGUGACCACCUGGGAACACCGCGUGCCGUU
rnacentral:rRNA from 1 species